UAUUGAUUGAAUUAUGAAUACAUCACCUUUUAUUUGUAAUAAUUAGCAAUAGGUCAGGGGAGUAUUUGGCAAGAUUUAACAUUUCCCUUGUCUUUUUUUCAGGCUGAUAAAAUUUUUAAAACUUUCCAACAUUGAUGUAAGGAAAAAGAUGUUUGGAUAUACAUGUAGAAUGAUAAAAGAAGAACAGUUUUUUCAGAUAUUACAGAAUCUCUGCCAGGCUUUGAAGUGCCCUGAAAAGUGAUCACGAUGAUAUGCUGCAUCGUUAUCAUGCAUUCCUAUUAGUCAUAUUAAAAAAACUGUCACCAAGCCCUUAGUGAAAAUUGGUUAUCAAAGUAUUCUUUGGCAGCACUUACAUUUUUUGAAACAUAAAUAUUGAAUUUUUUAAAAGAAAUAUGACUUCGGUGGUAUUUCUUUAAGAUAAUUGGAUGGCAGUGUUGCAAACAAGUGUUAUUAUGGACACAUUUUUUUCUAAUUGGACUCCCAGGAACCAGACUGCUUUUCAGAUUCAAACAAGAAUUUAAAAAGAAAAAAAAUGUCAGAAUAGUAAAAGAGGUACUUUGAAUAUAUUUACAGUCCACGUCCAUUUAUAUCCAGUAUAUAAUGCCUGGUGUUCACAAAUACAGGUAGAGCCCUUUUAGGAAGCAAGUUACAUAUUCCCAUAUUUUAAUAUCAGAUAUCAAAUACAAGCAUAUGGAACUGUUUUGAAUAAAGACAUAAAUUGUCCUUGGUGGUCAGCAUAUUUUUCUCUUAUUUUAAGUCUUAAAAGGAUAGCUAAUGUUUUUUGAGGUAAUGCAUUUGAAGACGGAACAUGUAUGAAAAUUUCUUCAGCAAAAAAAAAAAAAAA